rnacentral:rRNA from 1 species
AUACGGAGGAUCCGAGCGUUAUCCGGAUUUAUUGGGUUUAAAGGGUGCGUAGGCGGCCUUUUAAGUCAGCGGUGAAAGUCUGUGGCUCAACCAUAGAAUUGCCGUUGAAACUGGGAGGCUUGAGUAUGUUUGAGGCAGGCGGAAUGCGUGGUGUAGCGGUGAAAUGCUUAGAUAUCACGUAGAAACCCGAUUGCGAAGGCCGCCCGCCAAGCCAUGGCUGACGCUGAUGCACGAAAGCGUGGGGAUCAAACAGGAUUAGAUACCCUGGUAGUCCUCGCAGUAAACGAUGAUCACUAGAUGUUUGCGAUCGAGUGUAAGCGGCACAGCGAAAGCGUUAAGUAUUCCACCUGGGGAGUACGCCGGCAACGGUGAAACUCAAAGGAAUUGACGGGG